rfam:Schistosoma curassoni strain Dakar, Senegal genome assembly, scaffold: SCTD_scaffold0000198
AUUCAGCUAACGAGUCCCAAAUAAGAUGAAUCGCGCUUCCUGGAU